AGAGUUUGAUCCUGGCUCAGGAUGAACGCUAGCGGCAGGCCUAACACAUGCAAGUCGAACGGCAGCACAGAGUAGCAAUACUUGGGUGGCGAGUGGCGCACGGGUGCGUAACACGUAUGUAACCUACCUCUAACCGGGGGAUAGCCCGAAGAAAUUCGGAUUAAUACCCCAUAAUGUUAUUGAAAGGCAUCUUUUAAUAAUUAAAACUCCGGUGGUUAGAGAUGGACAUGCGACUGAUUAGCUUGUUGGUGAGGUAAUGGCUCACCAAGGCUGCGAUCAGUAGCUGGUCUGAGAGGAUGAUCAGCCACACUGGAACUGAGACACGGUCCAGACUCCUACGGGAGGCAGCAGUGAGGAAUAUUGGGCAAUGCCCGAAAGGGUGACCCAGCAACGCCGCGUGGAGGAUGAAGGUCGUAAGAUUGUAAACUCCUGUUAGAGGGGAAGAAUAACUAAGUUUGGAGCUUAGUAUGACUGUACCCUCAGAGAAAGCCCCGGCUAAC
rnacentral:rRNA from 1 species